rnacentral:rRNA from 1 species
CCUACGGGAGGCAGCAGUGGGGAAUAUUGGGCAAUGGGCGCAAGCCUGACCCAGCAACGCCGCGUGAAGGAAGAAGGCUUUCGGGUUGUAAACUUCCUUUUUGAGGGACGAAGAAAGUGACGGUACCUCAGGAAUAAGCCACGGCUAACUACGUGCCAGCAGUCGCGGUAAUACGUAGGUGGCAAGCGUUAUCCGGAUUUAUUGGGUGUAAAGGGCGUGUAGGCGGGAAAGCAAGUCAGAUGUGAAAACUCAGGGCUCAACCCUGAGCCUGCAUUUGAAACUGUUUUUCUUGAGUGCUGGAGAGGCAGUCGGAAUUCCGUGUGUAGCGGUGAAAUGCGUAGAUAUACGGAGGAACACCAGUGGCGAAGGCGGAUUGCUGGACAGUAACUGACGCUGAGGCGCGAAAGCGUGGGGAGCAAACAGGAUUAGAUACCCUAGUAGUC